CAGUCGCCACGGGAAUACGAAGGGUGCAAGCGUUAAUCGGAAUUACUGGGCGUAAAGCGUGCGUAGGCGGUUUGUUAAGUCUGUUGUGAAAUCCCCGGGCUCAACCUGGGAAUGGCAAUGGAUACUGGCAAGCUAGAGUGUGUCAGAGGAUGGUGGAAUUCCCGGUGUAGCGGUGAAAUGCGUAGAGAUCGGGAGGAAUAUCAGUGGCGAAGGCGGCCAUCUGGGACAACACUGACGCUGAGGCACGAAAGCGUGGGGAGCAAACAGGAUUAGAUACCCCAGUAGUCCCUGUCUCUUAUAC
rnacentral:rRNA from 1 species